GUGAGGAAUAUUGGUCAAUGGGCGGGAGCCUGAACCAGCCAAGUCGCGUGAAGGAAGAAGGAUCUAUGGUUCGUAAACUUCUUUUGCAGGGGAAUAAAGUGCAGGACGUGUCCUGUUUUGUAUGUACCCUGAGAAUAAGGAUCGGCUAACUCCGUGCCAGCAGCCGCGGUAAUACGGAGGAUCCGAGCGUUAUCCGGAUUUAUUGGGUUUAAAGGGUGCGUAGGUGGUUUGAUAAGUCAGCGGUGAAAGUUUGCAGCUUAACUGUAAAAAUGCCGUUGAAACUGUCGGACUUGAGUGUAAAUGAGGUAGGCGGAAUGAGUGGUGUAGCUGUGAAAUGCAUAGAUAUCACGCAGAACUCCUAGUGCGAAGGCAGCUUACUACGCUACAACUGACACUGAAGCACGAAAGCGUGGGGAUCAAACAGGAUUAGAUACCCGGGUAGUCC
rnacentral:rRNA from 1 species